CUUGUUUUGUGUUAUUUAUGAAAGUGAAUUCUGUCUAUAUUUUAUGUGAACUCUUACUUCAACAACAUAAAUUAUGCAGAUUUCAAGUUGUUGUGAAGCUGUAUUUGUCCGGGUCAUUCUGGCGUGUGUAUGUAUACAUAUGUAGUCCUACCUAUAAAGGUGUGAUGUUAAUUCAAGAAUUUAUUUUCAUGACACAGUCACACCCGCCAUGAUCAAAUCUGACCAAUUCACAAAAAUACGCGAGACAAAAGUGCCUUAAUCUAUGUAUAUCUGUCAGCCAUCUUAUUUCAGUGCAAUGUGACAUUCCGGAGAACAUACAUUUUUAUACAUGUAUCUGUUAUAUAUCUAUAAAUAGAUAUUGCGUCAUUAAUUGGGCUUUGAAUUUGGUUCACAUCUGUUUCAUUCGAUGUACAUUGUAUAAUGCCUGUACAAUUACAUUAAGUGUCUCUACAUUCAUCUUUAAUGUUAAAGGUUUCUGUGUAUAAACUCUGCAUUUAUUCUUGAAAAAACAAGUUUCUUCUUGUGUUGAUAUAUAGUCGUUAACUUGCUAUAGGUGCUUGAAUUUACAAAAUUGAUUUCAACUAUUAUAACAAAGAGACUGUUACUGAACUGCUGUUGUUGUUUUGUUUAUUGUAAAAGGCUUAGAGCUGCUGCUAUAUGUUCAUGUAUAUUUAAAUUGUAAAUGCUGAUUUUUUCUAUGCAUGGAACUUUUGCCAAAGUAGUUUUAUCAACUGAAUACCAUGUUUUUCGUAUCAUAUCUAUGUGCAAUCAAAAAGAAUUGUCGGAAGUAUCCUAUAUAUUCAUGCUUGAUUUUCAUGGAGCAUUUCAUAAAAAGAGAUAAGUUUUAUAAUAAAAACAAUAAAAAUUGUU
rnacentral:misc_RNA from 1 species